GACUCUAUUCUUAGCUUAGAUUCGAGUGUGAAUUUAUAAUUAUAGGAUUUAAGUAACUGUUUUUUCAUGCAUUAAGCAGAUGUGAUAAAUGGAUAUGAGAUAUUUUUGUUAUCGUUACUUAUUUGUAUACAUGUGAUAUUGUCUCUAAAAUUGGUCCACUGAAUAUGUAUUUUUGUUGUGCGAGUUUGUUAGCAAAUUGAGUGCACUACUGCAUUUGAAUCAGAAUUUCGGGAUAUUGCUUGUGAAGAGAGGAAGACUAAAUUGGCAG
rnacentral:lncRNA from 1 species